GGCUCAGGACGAACGCUGGCGGCGUGCUUAACACAUGCAAGUCGAACGAUGAAGCCCAGCUUGCUGGGUGGAUUAGUGGCGAACGGGUGAGUAACACGUGGGUGAUCUGCCCUGCACUUCGGGAUAAGCCUGGGAAACUGGGUCUAAUACCGGAUAGGACCUCGGGAUGCAUGUUCCGGGGUGGAAAGGUUUUCCGGUGCAGGAUGGGCCCGCGGCCUAUCAGCUUGUUGGUGGGGUAACGGCCCACCAAGGCGACGACGGGUAGCCGGCCUGAGAGGGCGACCGGCCACACUGGGACUGAGACACGGCCCAGACUCCUACGGGAGGCAGCAGUGGGGAAUAUUGCACAAUGGGCGCAAGCCUGAUGCAGCGACGCCGCG
rnacentral:rRNA from 1 species